AUGUCGACACUUCCUGAACCCGAUCUGACGAUCACUGUGAGCCGGUCCUUGCAUCCGUUUCAGCAUUCAGAGGAAGAUGCCAGACAGCUCUUUGCAAAUCAUCCUUAUGCAGAAAAUUUCUUGUCCCCCAGCCAUUUGGAUGAAGAUUCAGAUCUUGCAGACCUGGAAGCAUUGGGUCCACAUCCUCUGCUUAACAGGCAGACCAAUGCUUGGCAACCAUUGAGAUGGAUCAAUAUUAGAAUCCAAGCUGCGGGAACUAAUCAUUGGAUUAUGCCUUUUCUGAGAGAUGAUAACUUAUAUGUUCGAGGUUUUGGUAACCGGCAUAAUGCUCAUGAGCUAAGUCAAAAUCUGUGUUUGCCAGGGAAAGACAAAGUGGAGGUUCUGUCCAGGCAACUUCCCCUGAAACUCAACUGCAUUCUCGUCAAUUGGGACGUCACGUACCCCAAGAUGUUCGGAUGCAAGGGUGAGCAUGCACUCGAAGCUGAAUUUCAAAGGAUCAUGAGUGAUGAAGAUUUUGUCUUUGAGGCAGUCUGUUUCUUGUCAAGUUAUGUUCACGUCGAGGGCAGUGAGGCUGAACAGAAAGCCAUGAAGUACUUAGCGGGCAUCACUUUCACACUGUGUGAGUUUUACAGAAUGAAGCUUUGGCUAACCAAUGUCCCAUUGCACCUUUGGAUACGUCUCUGGGGGGAUAUUUGUUUUGAGUACCUUAAGUGGAGGGAUCGAAACUUCACGGACUGGAUUUCGGACAGAGUUGCAAAAAAGAAGGGACAGAUUGGUGAGACAAGGAAACAGAAGCAUUUCAAAAAUCUGGGCAUCCAGAGGCCAGCUGAUGGUUUGCAAAUCUUAAGCCUUAUAAUCAACUGA
rnacentral:rRNA from 1 species